AUUCCCACCGCCUGCUGAUCGCUGUCUUACCAGACAAAGUUAGAUCUUAGCUAUCCCCGUCUAAUACUGUCUGGUAAUGCCGUCGAUCGCAUUGGCAAUG
ensembl:miRNA aca-mir-429 aca-mir-429